UACUAGAAGGGGUGUCGAUCG
rnacentral:siRNA from 1 species